CUCUCUCCAGGCCUAAAUGAAUAAAGGCAUGACACUGAGACUGAAGGCUAGUUCUACUUCAGAACCACAGAGACAUGAACACCAGCAAGUUUGAGGUUGGAUAAGGAUCUUCAGAACUCCUCAGCUUCGGAUAGUCAAGCCUGCUUCGUCCCUUCUUCAACGGCAUGUCUAGCAUGUAUACUUCCCUUAAAUCCACCUUCGUAGCAUUUGCUGAUGGAAGAGGCAUGACAGAGUCCAUGCCUUCGCCUCCUCUGGCCAACUCUAAUCAUGAAACUCCUGUGAAUCAGCUGGGAAACAUGCAGAAUAUGAGAUUGGGGCCCUCAUUCAUACAAACUGGAAUUUUCCUUGGCAAUGGUAGAGUAGAAGCUUCUCCAUUCUUUAGAGAUGAAUUUGCUUUAAGUAAGAUCUUCCCAGAGUACAAAAGAAAUUUAUUCUGGAAAUUUCAAACUAAUAUGGCCUCCUCACUGGAACUGGAUCCACCAUCCUUUUCUCUCAGUGUCUUCUUGUUUAUGUUUUAGAUCUUUUGCAAGGUGAGCUACACCUCUGAGAGGAGCUCCUGGAAAUCACCAGAGAUACUUAAUGUUGCCAGCUGUACAGAUGGAGAUGAUGCACCUUGAUGAGGAAUAAGUACUGAGCCUGAAUCCUACAAAUGGGAAAAGGUGCUCAUAUCAGACUUAUGCAUUAGAUAUCAAACUACAAAGUACAAGUGCAGUUGAUACCUGUUUAGAUGAUGUAGAGCAAGGAAACAGAGUAUGUGUUAAAAGCAAAAAUUCCCAUGAAGCUGAACUGUUACUCUGCCAAAGCCUCCCACUCUCAAGUUUUAAGAGCCAAUAAACCUUGUAUCUGUA